rnacentral:misc_RNA from 1 species
UGUAGGAGUGAGCCUGCUCGCGAUUGCGCAAUGUCAGUUGGAGCAUUGAUGUCUGACACAUCGCAAUCGCGAGCAGGCUCACUCCUACA